GUGACAUGGGUGCAUUUAGGCAGAGUGGAGGGUGAUCUGUCACGGAAAUGGUAGACCCUGGUCCUUUCCCUUGAACAUCUCAGGUUGAACACUGGGGCGGUGCUUCAUUAUGAGCCAUUAAGUGGAUUCUCAUGAGUGAGUUUCUGUUGGCCUUAUAGACAAUGGGGUUUUAAUCAUGUUUAUCUAGGCUAAGAGAGGACAAGAGAACCAUUUGUGUACUUUCAAAGAAUCAGGGCCCCAUGGCUGAGUGCUGCUGGGGACGUAGAGGAGCAGCUAAGAGAGCCCAGAGGAUGAUCACGGAACUGGGACAGGGAGCGCCCAAAACCAUGUGAGAGGCCAUGGGUGGGGGGUGACUGAGAAACAAGCUACUAACCACCUUGAAAUACAUGAAGGGUAAGAAGAAACUCCCACAGGACUCUCAAAUCAGAAUGUAAAGGUAAUGCAGGGAGGGGAAUGGACGCAGGAGCUGGAGGAGUAUAGAAUUGUUACAAAGCAACCGUGAAGAUGAAGACUUUGGAAAGGAAGGACACAUUGGAACUAGCCUCACACAGGUGUUAGACUAGUCGUGGGAACUUCAGACCCACUACAGUGCUGCAUGCUUCUGGAUAGCAGGUCUUCUUGCUAAUUUAAAAUAGCCCCUGGCUCUCUCACCAGAUUGGCCACAACCUCCCAGCAGACCCCCUGGCCUCCCUGUGCUGGCCCCAACUACACUCUCAUGCUCCUUUCCCACUUCUCCCACCUCAUCUUGCAGAUUCCCUCCUCCAUAGCCUCUUUCUGGAUCUCUCCCACGGAUGUCUCAUCCUUCAAGGCUCACCUAACGUGCUACCUCCUCCAGGAAGCCUUUCCUGAUCCAUGCCACCAGAUGGUACAUGCUCCCUGCGGGAACCCAUAUAGCACAUUGUGCCUCUUUAUGGCACUUUCACUUCCUCCUGCAUUCUAACAAAUUGUGUGCUUGUCUGAGCUCUCACCCCCACCUCUCCUUAGAAAACUUCAAGGGCAGAGACCUGAUCCUUUCAUUUGUGUAUUCACAGUGCCAGGGCAGGAACCAGUGUGCCAUAGACACUCAAUAAAUGUUAAAUUGCAUUUCAGCCAAUGCAUACCUUGGACAAAGUUUCUGUGUUCCUUUAGAGGUUAUGACCGAGACUCGGGCUUAAACACUUGCCUCUGUCACUAGCCAGGUGAUCUAGGGUAACUUAAUUCAUCUCUGCACCUAGGUUUUCUCAUCUGUAAAAUGAGCACAACAGGACCUACCUCCAAAGGACACUGUGGUAGUCUUCAUAAAGCCCUUAGUAGAUUGUCUGGACACACUGUGAAUGCUCAGUAGAUGUAAGACAGGGUUAGCAAUGUGCAGUAUAAGGGACAUAAUUUCCUUUCGAUUGCCAAGAGUGCAGUGAUUCAUAUGCUCCUUUUCUACCUGGCAGUCUUUAUCUUCUGUAAAGCACAUCUUUGCACAAAGCAGCUUCAUAUCAUUUCAAUGCUGUUAGAUAUCUGGGCGCCAUAUACACAGGAAUGCUAGUAGGCAGUUUGUUAACUAGGAAUCAAAUAUACCAAUCAAAGAGAUUUUCCUCAAAGUGAUUUGCCAAUUCAUCCAUCCAUCAAGCCUGUGCCAUUACAAGCUGCGUGAGUCCUCCAAGGCCUGCGAAAAUGAAAAUGAACAAAACCAAACCCCUGUUCCCAUGUUGAUCACAGCCUCCCCGGGCAAAUAUAGCAAAGACCUAGAUAGAACUAUAAAAAGAGGCUGCGAGAGUCCAAAGAGGAGAGUGGCCGCCCCUGUGCAUGGUGAGGAGAGGUUGGGGAAGUGGGAGCGCCAGCAGGCCUCAUGGAAGAGGGGGUGUGCAGCUGGACCCUGCCAGGUGAGUAGGAAGAAGUUUGUCAGAGAGAGGAGGUAGAAGCAUCUCCAAAAACAGGAAGCAGCAAGUGCAAAGAGACAGAGUCCUUGAGUCCACAUUCGGCAAAUGCUGAGGUUGGUGGCCCUAAAAGGCCCAGAAAAUCAAUCCACAUUCUUCUAAUACUGAUGUGGAUUUUAUUUAAAAUAGAAACACUUCCACCAAAUUAGUUAUGAAUCCCAGAAGAGAUUAUCUUAUUGCUAAAAUAAAUGUUCUUUUCUUAUUUCUUCCAAAAUGAUUUGAUGGUUAUUUUUCUGAAGCAUAUUUCUGAUUUCUCUUGAAAACAAGUGCCUUCAGAAAGUCCAUGUCAGCCAAGGAGAAACAACUCAAAAGUAGCCCAGGAUCACAACUAUUUAGCCCCACCAAGGAUCAAAUUCUUCAUAUUCUCUAAACUACCCCCCCAGCACAUGGAGUGAUUUCAGCUCUUCAAAGCCAGUAAAGAGAUAAGUUCAUUGAAACUCAAGAUGACAGGCACAGAGCUCAUUAUAUCUGGUUUCAUUUGUUCCUUCAGUUAUUCUCUGAGGACAGUGGACAGUGAAUGCAGCCAGACGUCUCUUUCAGAAGAGCACAAAUGGAGGAGGAAAUUUUGUUCAUAACUUUGCUGGGAGAAUGUUUGGCCAAAUGCAGUGGCCUGAGGCCAGAAAAUGCCAUUUUUUAUCUCCAGUGCAGACAGGCAGAGAGGAGGUGUAAUGGAUUUAGCAAGAUAAAGACUUGGACCCACAGAAAAAGAAACACACACACAUCCACAUGCACACGUGAUCCUCACGGAAAAUUAGACUUCACUUCCACCUCUUGAGGUGGGAAUUGUAGUCUUACUGAAAUUACAGAGACGAAGCUACGGUCAUAUUACACAAAGCUGUAUCUAUCAGUGAAGGGUGGCCUCUUGGGAAUGAACUAUUUAAACAACAAUUGCGUGUCCAGAAUUCAUGAUGUGAGCAGAUUUUUCCUGAAAGAGGCAACUUGGCCUGUUGGGAUCAGAACUGUUGCUUAUUUGAUUGUUUUCCUUUUGGUCUCAGACGCUGGGGUCUCAGUGUCAGCUGGAGACUGAAAACUUCAGCCUGCAGGGAGAGAUGGGACAGAGGUGGCCCUGAGGGCCUCUGAGUCCUGGCUCCAGGUGUCCCAUUCGUCGGCCCUUCCUGUGCUUGGCUAUGCAAGCCAAUCCAUUCUCUGCGAUUGCUUGAAAUUUGUAAAAAAGAAAGAGAAUGAGGCUUUGUCAUCAUUGUGAGCUUGAGUAAAUCAUUUCUCACUUCUAGACCUCGGGUUUCUCACUUGUUAAGAGGGUGGGGGUGGGAGACUAAGCAAAUCCUCAGGUUCUUAAAAUUUGUUGAUUUAAUUGAUCUGGAAAAGGGAUUUUUUCCACCAUUUUGGUUUAGGAAUAUUUUAUGGGGCCCAGGAUGCAGAGGUUCCUUGAGUUCCUCAGUGAAGGACCGCAGUGACUUCAUGGUUGGGGUGGCAGUUAACCUGAGCAGCAAAGACUGCUGGGUAGAGCUAGGCGCUGCUUUUCAGAACCAAAGGCUUCACCUAUUUGAAACUUGUAUUAUGGAGGCAUGUUACAGAGGAAAGAGCACAAGACUUAGAAUAAUUGUCCUAGAUUUGAGUCUAGCCACUAAACUAACUCACUGAGAUUGUGGCCAGGGCACACCCCAAUUUGGGGACUCAGUUUACUUGUGGGUGAAGUGAAUAUGGGAGACAGACUCCCAGGAGGCUCCAUGGUCCAUGCUCCCUGGUGUACCCACCCUUGUGGGAUCCCUUCCCUCCAGUGUGGGUGGCACCUGUGACUUGUUUCUAACCAACAGAAUAUGGCGAUGGUGGUGGACGUCAGUGUCAUGAUAUUAAUAUAUUCCAGCGGACUUGAACACCCAUCUUACUAGCCGACUUUUGCUGUCAACUGUCUCCCUUGCUGGCUUUGAUGGAGUAAGCUGCCAUAGAGAGAGGUCCUGGAGAAGAACUGAGGGUGGCCUCUGGCUGAGGGCCCACAAGAAGCUGAGGCCCUCAGGCCAACAACCCUCAAGGAACUGAAUUCUGUCAACAACCACAUGAUUUUGGAAGCAGAACCUUCCCCGGUCAAGCUGCAGAUAAGAUCCCCAGCCCUGACUGACUCCCGGAUUAAAGCACCGUAAGAGAAUCUAAAACAGAGGAAUCAGCUAAACUGUGCCUGGACUCCUGACCCACAGGAACUGUGAAAUAAUAAAUGUGCUGUUUAAAAGUACGAAGUUUGUGGUAAUUUGUUAUGCAGCAGUAGAUAAGUAACACAACAAAGCAGUUAUAACCUUCUGUACCUGACAUCCUGUGAGCAUGACAAUACUCUUCUUAUGAUACCAGCAUUACACAUGUAACAGAAACCACUCCAUUAUGACAUACACAAACAUAUUGUAAGCUGCUGUUACUAUGCUGGGUUGAGAAUUAUUCAUCUUUCUAGAACUCCUAGGGUACUUGUUCUGUAUUUAGAUUCUCAUUUAAUCAGGACUCAUUUCCAGGCUUCUUCCUGCUGAUUGUAAAUACCAUGCUCACACACACAGGUCCACACACACAGUUGCACACUCACACACAGGCCCACACUCACACACACAGGUCCACACUCACACACACAGGCCCACACUCACACACACACAUCCACACUCACACACAGGCCCACACUCACACACACAGGUCCACUCUCACACACAGGCCCACACUCACACAGGCCCACGUUCACACACACAGGUCCACAUUCACACACAAGAUCCACACUCACACACACAGGUCCUGCAUCUCGCUGAAUUUAAUUAAGGAUCAACCUGAAAUAAAAU
rnacentral:lncRNA from 1 species